rnacentral:rRNA from 1 species
GAUGAACGCUGGCGGCGUGCCUAAUACAUGCAAGUCGAGCGAACAGAUGAGGAGCUUGCUCCUCUGACGUUAGCGGCGGACGGGUGAGUAACACGUGGAUAACCUACCUAUAAGACUGGGAUAACUUCGGGAAACCGGAGCUAAUACCGGAUAAUAUAUUUAACCGCAUGGUUCAAUAGUGAAAGACGGUUUUGCUGUCACUUAUAGAUGGAUCCGCGCCGCAUUAGCUAGUUGGUAAGGUAACGGCUUACCAAGGCAACGAUGCGUAGCCGACCUGAGAGGGGGAUCGGCCACACUAGAACUGAGACACGGUCCAGACUCCUACGGGAGGCAGCGGUAGGGAAUCUUCCGCAAUGGGCGAAAGCCUGACGGAGCAACGCCGCGUGAGUGAUGAAGGUCUUCGGAUCGUAAAACUCUGUUAUUAGGGAAGAACAAAUGUGUAAGUAACUAUGCACGUCUUGACGGUACCUAAUCAGAAAGCCACGGCUAACUCCGUG